rnacentral:tRNA from 11 species
GUAGUUCAGUCGGUUAGAAUACCUGCCUGUCACGCAGGGGGUCGCGGGUUCGAGUCCCGUCAGAA